rnacentral:rRNA from 1 species
GAACGAACGCUGGCGGCGUGCCUAACACAUGCAAGUCGAACGCGAAAAGCAGUAAUGCUGAGUAGAGUGGCGCACGGGUGAGUAACACGUAACUGACAUGUCCCAAAGACGAGGAUAACCGUUCGAAAGGAUGGCUAAUACUCGGUAAGCCCCCGGGCUUGGGUUUGAGGGAAAAGGGUCGGGACCUUUCGAGGCCGAUCGCUUUGGGAGUGGGUUGCGGCCCAUCAGCUAGUUGGCGGGGUAACGGCCCACCAAGGCUAAGACGGGUAGCUGGUCUGAGAGGAUGAUCAGCCACACUGGAACUGAGACACGGUCCAGACUCCUACGGGAGGCAGCAGUGGGGAAUCUUGCGCAAUGGGAGAAAUCCUGACGCAGCAACGCCGCGUGGGUGAUGAAGGUCUUCGGAUCGUAAAGCCCUGUCGGAGGGGAAGAUGCUUGGUAGUGCUAACAUCACUAUCAGGUGACGGUACCCUCAAAGGAAGCACCGGCUAACUCUGUGCCAGCAGCCGCGGUAAUACAGAGGGUGCAAGCGUUGUUCGGAAUUAUUGGGCGUAAAGGGAGUGUAGGCGGUCUGGUAAGUCUGCUGUGAAAUCUACGGGCUUAGCCUGUAACGUGCAGCGGAAACUGUCAGACUUGAGUGUCGGAGAGGAUAGGGGAAUACCCAGUGUAGAGGUGAAAUUCGUAGAGAUUGGGUGGAACACCAGUGGCGAAGGCGCCUGUCUGGCUGACAACUGACGCUGAGACUCGAAAGCAUGGGGAGCAAACAGGAUUAGAUACCCUGGUAGUCCAUGCCGUAAACGAUGAUAGCUAGAUGUGUGUGGUAUUGACCCCAUACGUGUCGAAGCAAACGCGAUAAGCUAUCCGCCUGGGGAGUACGGUC